GAUUCCCUUAGUAACGGCGAGUGAAGAGGGAACAGCCCAGCGCCAAGUCCUGACACUUGACGUGUUCAGGAGAUGCGGCGUUAAAGUAUUGGCGCAUCGCACACUGUCUCGUGCUUCAAGUUCCUUUGACAGGGACUCCCARAGUGGGUGCUAGGCCCAUARAGGCUCUGAGACUGGUGUGCSCAGGCUAAUGCUUUUUARAGUCAGGUUGCUUGARAGUGCAGCCUAAAUCAGGUGGUAAACUCCAUCUAAGGCUAAAUAUUACAGCGAGACCGAUAGCAAACAAGUACUGUGAAGGAAAGUUGCAAARAACUUUGAARARARAGUUCAAAAGGACGUGAAACCACUUGCAGGCAAACGGGUGGAACCMCGAAGUAUGCCUUCGGGACGAUUCAACUAUUGCUGCCGGUUACUGGGCGUGUGUUUGUGGACCUUUUCGGAGGUUGGCACACGGUUUUGGUUGUUGAUUGGCUGGCAAUAGUGCAUUUUGUUUCCGAAGUGCUGAAGCCACGUCCGACGAGGUGGCUGGGACGGCCGUAGUGAUGGAUUCUUGGAAGGUGGCCGCCUUUUGCCUUUGGCAUUUGGUGGUGUUAUAGACUUGAAUCCGUUUUGACCGUCACCUAGCGUGCUCGUCGGUGCAAAUUCUCCUCCCCCCUGGAGUGUUGCUAGUAGUGGUCAUGUGUGUCUGUGGCGCAAGUCGGCGUCGUUUGGUUGUUUACUUUUCGUGCUUUCGGGUGCGCAAAGACAGCUAGGCGUGCGUUGGCUUGGGCGUCACUUGCAUGAUGUGACUGUACCCAAACGGUGGUGCGAGUAGGUCGGUCUCCACCCGACCCGUCUUGAAACACGGACCAAGGAGCCUAACAUGUACGCAAGUCGCUCGGUCUUGUUUAGGCCCGGGAGGCGUAAUGAAAGUAAAGCUACGAGUCUGAGUCUCGCGACUCAGUCGCAGUAGCGGCCCGCCUGUUUCCUUUUUUYGGGGAUAUGGCGGAGCUGGAGCGUACACGUUGGUACCCGAAAGAUGGUGAACUAUGCCUGGGCAAGACGAAGCCAGAGGAAACUCUGGUGGAGGUCUGUAGCGAUUCUGACGUGCAAAUCGAUCGUCAGACCUGGGUAUAGGGGCGAAAGACUAAUCGAACCAUCUAGUAGCUGGUUCCCUCCGAAGUUUCCCUCAGGAUAGCAGGCGUUUGUUGAAUCAGUCUCAUCCGGUAAAGCUAAUGAUUAGAGGUCUUGGGGCCGAAACGGCCUCAACCUAUUCUCAAACUUUAAAUGGGUGAGAUGCUUGACUUGCUUAAUUUGAAGCCAAGCAGUUGGAUGUAUAAGUGCCUAGUGGGCCAGCUUUGGUAAGCAGAACUGGCGCUGUGGGAUGAACCAAACGUCGAGUUAAGGCAUCAAAUGCAUACGCUCAUCAGACCCCAUAAAAGGUGUUGGUUGCUAUAGACAGCAGGACGGUGGCC
rnacentral:rRNA from 1 species